GAGUUUGAUCGUGGCUCAGAGCGAACGCUGGCGGCAGGCUUAACACAUGCAAGUCGAGCGAGAACCUGGGCUUCGGCCCUGGGGACAGCGGCGAACGGGUGAGUAACACGUGGGUAAUCUGCCCUUGACAUCGGGAUAGCCCGGGGAAACCCGGAUUAAUACCGAUAGCCUCCGGAGCCUUUUGGGCGCCGGAGAAAAAGGUAGCUUCGGCCUCUGGUCGAGGAUGAGCCCGCGGCGGAUUAGCUUGUUGGCGGGGUAAGCCCACAAGGCGACGAUCCGUAGCUGGUCUGAGAGGACGAUCAGCCACACUGGGACUGAGACACGGCCCAGACUCCUACGGGAGGCAGCAGUGGGGGAAUCUUGCGCUAAUGCGGGAAACCGUGACGCAGCGACGCCGCGUGGGGGAAGAAGGCCUC
rnacentral:rRNA from 1 species